rnacentral:rRNA from 1 species
AUUGAACGCUGGCGGCAUGCCUUACACAUGCAAGUCGAACGGCAGCACGGGAGCAAUCCUGGUGGCGAGUGGCGAACGGGUGAGUAAUAUAUCGGAACGUGCCCAGUAGUGGGGGAUAACUGCUCGAAAGAGCAGCUAAUACCGCAUACGACCUGAGGGUGAAAGGGGGGGAUCGCAAGACCUCUCGCUAUUGGAGCGGCCGAUAUCAGAUUAGCUAGUUGGUGGGGUAAAGGCCUACCAAGGCAACGAUCUGUAGUUGGUCUGAGAGGACGACCAGCCACACUGGGACUGAGACACGGCCCAGACUCCUACGGGAGGCAGCAGUGGGGAAUUUUGGACAAUGGGCGCAAGCCUGAUCCAGCAAUGCCGCGUGCAGGAUGAAGGCCCUCGGGUUGUAAACUGCUUUUGUACGGAACGAAAAGCCCUGGGUUAAUACCCUGGGGCCAUGACGGUACCGUAAGAAUAAGCACCGGCUAACUACGUGCCAGCCGCCGCCGUAACAC